rnacentral:tRNA from 2 species
GGCAGUAUAGCUGAGUGGUAAAGCGCAUCAUUCAUACCGAUGUGAUCAUGAGUUCGAUCCUCAUUACUGCCA